rnacentral:lncRNA from 1 species
AGUGGAGGCAAGCAUAGCUUGCUGGCGGUCUCUGCUUACCUGAGUACUUGCAGAGAUAUUCUGGCAUGCGCUCGGAUUCAUUCCGUCCCGUGCGUUGGUGACUUCCUCCUCUCUCCUCUGCGCCCUUCUCAAGACAAGAUGAGCAGACCACCAGUGGGAGGAGCAACACUGAGCAUUGGAGCUGCAACCGGACUGGAAAAUGGAGAGGGACAGAGCCAUGGGUGAAGAGACAAAGACAGUGAUGGGUGAAUCAAUGGAUGGUUUAGUGGCCUUAGUGGGGCAGCAGUUCUGACCAGGGAGAGCUGCUGUACAUAGAAUCAUAGAAUGGUUUAGAUUGUAAGAGACCUUAAAGAUCAUUUAGUUAUGCUCUCUCCCGUGGGCUGGCUGCCCCCCAUCAGAUCAGGCUGCCCAGGGCCCAUCCAUGGCGUUGGGCACUUCCAGGGAUAGAGCACCCACACUUCUCUGCGCAGUCUGUGCCAUGUCCUCACAACACAUCCCCUUGCUCUGGUAAUGAGGCCAUUGACUCCAGUUUCACCUGGAAGCCAUAUCCUGCUGUUGGUCACAUGGAGAAACCUCCUGUGCCUCCCCACAUGGCCCAGUGCUUCUGUUCCUCCGCUGAGCAGCCACUUCUGCCCCAUCCCUGGAGGUACCUAUGGCACCCUGAUCUAGUGGUUGGCAACCCCGCCCACGGCAUGGGGCUUGGAGCCUUAUAAUCUCUGAGGUCCCUUCCAACUCAAGCCAUUCUACGAUCCUCUGAUUCUUCCCUCCCCUGCAAGAAGCUCCAGAUCCCACAUACCCUGCUUGGCAUCCCAAACGUGCCAAACUGGCAGGAGCAAAAGCAACUUCUUAUUUUUCUUUUCUGUCCUCAUUCGACUCUGGCCCACGGCCAGUCGCUAUCUUCAUUUAUUGUAAUGAAUUUGUGCCAUUAAUAUGUUGGCUGUGCGGAGCAAUCGCAAAGUAGUACAUUAGGACAAAAGCUAUUGCUCUGGAUGCCAGCGCUUUAUUGCUGCUGCUGAUUUACGGGCUGAUAAGCAACGCCGCGCGUCCUUGAGAUGGGAAAAGGACAGGUAGUGUGGCAGGGACCCGCAUUGUGGCAGGGUGUGGGAUUUCCCAGGCCUCGCACAGCUGGGGGUGGACUUGACGAUUCCAUCUUUUCUCUGGAAAACGUCUUCGCCUGAGUGUGAGCCCGGAGGAACGCCGCAGACAAAGCCAGUGUGAAAGUCCCAGGCGCUUGGAAAGGAGAUUAAAUGCCGUCACAAUACUGUAGGUUUGGGAGCUUCUGUGUGAGCAGCUCAUAAUAGAGCCAUGUCAUCACUUUAUUGCAAAGAUACGAUAAAGACAGGCAUUAUACGGUGUUAACAUUUAACAGCCAUAACUUAACUUUCAAAAGACUUCGCAGACCAAGUCACAGUGAAUUGUUUCUUUCUCCGCGUUUAAUCCCGGGCUCACAUGCUAUAGAGCAAGAGCAUUUACAGCCAGCGCUAAGCACAGACAGCCAGACCUGUCUGCCUGUCAGCUCCGCGAGUAAUCCCCUGAAGAGCAGCCGUACAUAGAGUGAUUUAAAGGGAAAGCAUGGAACAAGGGGAGCACAGACAACACAGAAACCACUGUCAGAAAGAGAUGCCAAGCAGCCCUGUCCCGGGGCUGAUCCUGUGCCCAGCAGUGCCAGUCUCCCUGCAGUGCUUAUGGCUACAGGAUACGACCCGGAGUUGCCAAGUUAUAGGAAGAACUCAAGCACCCGGAGUUUAUAAAAGUGGGAUGACGUGGGAGACGGCCUCUCGAGUCAAAAAGCGACUGCUGUGGAGCUGGGAGGAAAAUCCCCAUGGCUGGAGCAGGGGGAGAGCAUCACGGCUGUGACCCCAGAGCUGGGGUCAGCCCCCGCGCAGGGACAUCCCCCUGGGAAAUGGAGCGGGCAGUGCGGGGCACGGUCACUCCCCCUCUUAAUGAGCCCUGUCAGCUUGCCUUGCAUUUUAGCUAAUUAAUUACUCCACUUCGGAGCUGCGCUUUGAGUUGACACCAGCACCACAGGAAGGAACGGGGGUUGAUUUCAAUCCCCUCUCUGUUUGUUUGCUCUCACAGUCCGGAUCCACACAACAGGAAACGUUGGGUGAGUGCUCAGGGAAAAUAGUCAGCAACGCUAUCUGAGAGCCAUAUCAAAGAGAUUUGGGCCAGAAGUGGACCCAGCUACUGUGAAGCUAUUAGCAGCAUCUCAGGCUUCCUGUGUACAGCGGGUUAGGGGGCGAGCACUGCCCACAUGUUUGCUUGCUGGAAUAGUCACCAGCACUGCCAUGAACUCACAGCCCUGAACAGACCUUCCGAAAGUAGUUCAGAGUGGAAGCAGCAGGAAGGAGGGAUUUUCUGGCCUGGAAUAUUUUCGCCCUUUAAGGGCUACAGUGCAAGAUCUUCCUUGAGUGGGUCUGUUGCUGGCAUGCUGGGAGCAAGCAUGCACCAACGCAUGCAAGAUGGCAAGAUGGGUGAGCGAGGCUGUGCAGAUAGCCUGACCUCACUCAGGGCAGCAACACCAGGACAACAGCAUUGGGAUCAUCACUGGGAAAGCUCAGAAAGCUCCAGCGGAGUGAUGUAUAAGGAAAAGCUGCAGUGCGGGGCAAAUUGUAUCUCCCAGCACCUGGAGCCUGCAGCCUCACUAUGAGGAGGAGGAGGAGGAGGAGGCAGUGAACCCAUCCCAUGGCAAGGCAAUGGGUGAAGUGGGCAUCUGCCUAAAUCCCAUCUGGCCACACACCUCAGAGCUGGAACAUGCAAGAUUUUGUUGAUGGGACCAAUAAUCAGAGCACAGUGUAAUCAGCCCCCUGGGAUGUCUGAGGCAAGCAGAAACUACUGGCUUCUUUCACAAAGCACAAAGCUGAUGUCUGAGUCGGCACGUUUGAUAACAAACGUGGUUUCUCAGAGCCCCUUUGUUAUCAGGUUGUGCUGAGGAGGAGCACACCAGGACACGAUGAUGCUGACAUCCAGAUGAGCACAGAAAUGAUAACAAAGCCCAGCAGGACAGUUUGUUCACUUCUCCCUCCAGCAAGGGCAUUGCUGGUGGUCUUAUCUCUUGCAAAGCACAAACCAGAGCAGCCAGGAGCCUUGCAUAGUUUUCCUGGGCUCCCUGCUGGAAGCACCCCAUGAAUGAGGUGCCCAACCCCAGGGCAUCAGGCCUGCAAGCAUCCCACCCUGAUGGUUGGGAGAAACUGCAGGAGUGGCAGCAAGGACAUUGGGAAGGGAAGUUGGUGAUACAGCAUUUGGGACUGCAGACUUUCAGAAUGCCCAGACCCAAGCUUGAAGUGUGAGGGACUCACAACUCCAUAUCAUGGGUAACCAGAGACCUGGAAGAACAAACCCAGAGAUGGUGCCAUACCCCAAAAUGAUCCCUUCCAAACCUGAGUGACAGACAUCCUCUCUUAUAGGGCCACCCAACUGGGAUAUCACCAUCCUUCCCAGGGCGUUCAUUCCAUCACAAACAGCUUUCAGGCUCUGGUCAUCAGGCAGAUUGUCCAGCUUUGGCAAUUCCAAGCCAUGUUCACAAGACACGGGCUAAUUUCUGAUAAAUUCUCACCAACUGAAUCCAGCUCUGCUAGAUCCUGUUACAAUGAGAGGGGAGAAGAGAUGGCAGUUGGACCACUUGCUGUUGAGGUCUUGGAUGUUGCAAAAGACUUUAUUCUGUCCUAUCUCCGGCCCAGACUGUUUUGCUGAGAUCUCAUCCCAUCCCUUCUCCUCCCUGCACAGAUAUACUCCAGCCAGGCUCCAUUUCAAAUCUCUCCUGGGUUGCUGGUUUCAAAGCUUUCCAAAGAGUAUCAUCAUCCAGGAGACAGAUGUCUAGGACUACUGGGCUUCCUUGGGGGAAAGCAGCACUGAGGAUGGUUUUGUGGUAGCAUCUUUGCACCAAGCCCUGCUUAAAAUGUAGACAGUGAGCUGGAAGCAGCAAAGAAAUGUUUAUGGAAUUGCUUUCACGGGCACUGUGCAUGUGGUGAUAGGUUUAUAAAUUAGGUCAUACCAUUUCCUGAAAUGUAUGUGCAACGUUCUGGAUAUUUAAUGGCAUAAAGACGUAAUUAGCUGCAGCUUUGGAAAACAGCGUCACCUUGAUUUGAAGGAAACUGUUAAAUAAGAUUGGGUUACCAUGCUGAGCAACCCAUUGCAAAGAUACAAUCUGAGGAGGGAACCUGACCCUGCCAGGAUUUCCUCUGCAGUGUGUUUGCAUUGUAUAUGCAUCUAAUCUGGAGCAAAUAUCUACAUUUCUCUGUACCCCAUUCAGACCUAAAGGAAAAAAAAAGUAAGCUGAGUAGCUUCACUGAAUGCUAAAAUAGAAGAAAUUUGUUGCAGGAAGGAAAUUUUAAGGUUAUGAUCUGCAUGGUCCCAGGUGCAUUUUUAAAGCAUCUGAAAUGUUAGAAGUCUCCUAUGUCCUCCAAGAACCUUGAGAAGAGAGAGAAAAUGCUGCAUAGCAAAGGUCUUUAGGAAGAUGGAAUGUGAAAACAGAUUAAAUAUAAGAUUUGGGAUCCCAAUGACCCCUACGUGUUUUUCAGUCAACAGCAAAAUACCGUGAGAGACUUCAGUCUCCUUCAUGUAACCAGCAAACCCCGAGGUAUCCUGAGACACCAAACCACUCUGGGUCUUCUAAACUACCCAACCACUUGUCCCCUUAUCUUUUGACCAACAAGGCUUAGUUUUCAGAGGAAGUGAAUGAGAUAUUUUAACAGGGUAAGCCAAGGCUGGUGGGAGAUGCAGAAUAGAUGCCCAUAUCCUGAGGUCACAUCCCCGUGCUGAAGGUAUGGCUACACACCAUACAGAAGUGUUUUGAGACCUCCAAAAUCAGCAGAAUUGCUAAGUGACAGGGCACCUAGAGCAGACAACUCACUGCAUUGACUGCUGACAAUGAGCUGACAGUGACACUUCCAGCAAAUAAUAAAUGGCUGAGAAAGAGGAAUUUGAAAUGCAAUGCCACUGAUGAGCCAAUGAGCAUGGGCACCUGGAGGGCACGGUCUCUUCUCCAUUUAGGAAUCACAGCUUUGCUUUUGGGCCCUCUUGACCCAAAAAGAAAACCCCAAUUAUGUACUAAUACAGAAACUGAGCAGUCUACUCUGUAGAGAAAUGUGUUGACAAAAAAUAUUGCUUUCAAAAGAAAUGUUCUUUAUUUUUUCAAGAGAGAAGGAAACCAGAUAAUUUUUCAGGGCCAGGAGAAGAAAACAAAAACAAAAACAAAAACACAAUAACAACAUCAGAAUAUCUUUGUUUUGUAAUGCUUGAAAAUAACUCUCAGGAGUCAAGGAGAAUGGUGAUAAAAAUGAGAAAUGUUGAAAAUGGGAAGAAGGGAAGGAAUGAGAGGGCGGGGUGCAGGCUUGUAGGAGGAGCUGCAAUUACUUGACAGAAAAACAGGGGUCUGCUGAAUCUGUAGGGUGUUUCAUUUACAGUCCUUUGGUCUGGAGAAGCACUGAACUUACACUGAACCCCAUCCCCGAGGUGAAACCUUCCCUCUCCCACCUAUGCAGCUCAGGCUCCCAAGAAGCACUGUUUCAUUCCCCCUCUCUCCCCUCCAUCCAUCUCAAUAUCCAUGUUCCCAAGUUGCCUGAUGUGCCGUUUAUGACAGAAAUAACCUGCCUUGGCACUGACACUUGAAUUUCACUUAAGGUUCGUCGCGUUAUUAAUGACAAGAUCAAUAUUGCCAAAGCCGCAGUAAGAGCUCUCGCCAUCCAUCUGCCUCCCACCCUCCCCUCCGAGGCGCUCCAUGUUUUAAUGCUCCAUCUUCUUUCAAGGGUAUGGGCUCAGCAUGGGAAGGAGAAUCUCCCGCUGCCGGGGACGCGGUGCUCAGUCCUUGGCAGCUGCCCCAAUGUAUUUCUCCCGAGCCUUGAAUGCUGAGUGAUGAGGUUUGGGAGAGGGAUAACCCACAGGCUCUGUCUAAUCAGAGAGACUGUGGUGGCCUUGCUGAACCCUCCCGGCACAAUUAGGUAAUCACGUUGGCAGACAAGCCUGAUUCAUGUCGCUUUACCAUCAGCAAAGGGAUAUCUAUCACCCCUGCGACAGACCCGUUAUUGCCGCAAACCACUUCAGCCCAACCGGUUAAAAACCCCUUGUAAAAGCAAAAUAAAAAAAGGGGCUUGGACAUAUUUUAUGGCAAAUUAACUUCUAACGUAUUCUUUCCUGCCUCGUAUUAAGAUCCCACUCUCAGCUGACACCUGCAGCAAGGCCUGUGUUCCUCAUGGCAUGUAAGGGCUCAAGAUCUCUGCAGACACUGUGGGACAUUCAGGACAAUGCUGAUUUGCUCUCACUUCUCUCCAUUGGCUCCAGAGGAACCCAAGGUGAGGUUUUGGGUGGUUGUGAAGAGUCAGGAGUUGGACUUGAUGAUCCUUAUGGGUCCCUUCCAACAUGGGAUCUUCUGUCGUUCUAUGAUUCUUGUUCCAUGGACUGACCCUAUUCCUAUGAUGACAGCUUUCCAGGAAUGCCAAGGCAAAGGCACCCAAACUCAACCUGAAGCACCCAGCCUGCUGAUACCAAGCUUCUUUAGCUCUGUUCCCACUGGACCACCUAUGGAUGUCGAUGAAGACAACAAGGAGACUUAAUGGAUUCAAACAAGCUUUGGAUGAAUCCUUCAAAGCACCCUGGAAAUUCAGCUGUUUCCCCAGUUCUACUCUGCACAGAUCCACAGGUGGACCAGGAAUGGAUGGAGGAAUUAUAUUAGCCCCAAUGUGCAGUGCAGCACCCCUGCUCCUCAUCCAACAGAUCCUGAAGGGCCGUCCCCAAAUCUGUGGUUUUAUUGCUCUACUGGAAUUGUGCUCUGGACCUGAAGACUUCCAGGCAAAGCACAGAGCUUUUCCAUAGGCUCCAGAGGGCUCCUCAGGGCUGAGCCAUUCCCAGAACCGCCCGUCCCUGACCUCAGACAAGGCUCCAAUUAGGACUUUCAGUUAUUUUUCUUUGAAACAAACACAGGGCAAUGGGGAAAAGCAUCCUUAUCAUCUGGGGAUAUUCACAUUUUUACUACAUUUUCUUUCAGUUCUGAUUUUUUUUUUCCCCAGAACCAGUUAAUCCAUUUCUUUUGGACUUGUACCUUCAAGGCAAGAGCUGCAGCUCAACGUGCGGCCAAGCCAUUCCAGAAAAAUGCCUUCACUACAGAACAUGAACUUCCCAUUAUAGAGGCUGCAUAUGUGCUCUGAUUGAUCCCUAAACUGGCAUUUCAAUUUAUUUCCCACUGGAGGACUCAUUCAUUACAGAGAAAUAAGACUAUUAAAUGCAUGAUAAAGCACAUGCAUCAACAGACGAGAAUGGUGGUUACUUUACUGUACCUAUCUAAACAAUAGCUGAUAAAUAAAGCCAUUCAUGAUCACAUAGGACCUUUUAAAAUGAAUAAGGAAACAGUAAUAUGCUCAUUAUUAAAGCAGCUGAUUAAAAAAAAUAGCUUGCCAGCAUUAACACCACACACACUUUGCUGCUGCAUCCCUGGCUGUGGGACGGAGGCAGCUCGAAGGCACAGAUUGCGAGCAACCUGCCUGCAACCUGCCCAAGUCCCAGCAGCCUGCAGAUGUGUGCAGCUGUGCUGAUGUGGCAGCAGGCUCUUACCUCCAGCAGCAGGGAAAGAUGCCCAAAGGAGCCCAUGCAAGCUGCUUUUUUCAAGCUUCCAUCGCUUUUUCUUUAACUACUGCAUUGACUUUCUACCCAACAGCCUCUGGAGAGAAGCAGAAUAGUGGGGCAGGUGUAGAAUUCUUUAUACAUAUCAUAGAACCACAGAAUGGCUUAGGUUGGAAGGGACCUUAAAGAUCAUCGAGCUCCAACCCCAUGCAUAUGUACGUAUGCAUAUGGUUGGUUUCUUUCUUUUUUUUUUUUACCUGUCAAAAGAGGAAAGAUAGAGAUGGCAAAGAAAGACAAGACAUGGAGAAAGGAAAAUGAAGAGGAAAGGAGAAGUGGAUCUUUAUGAAAAUGAGGAGAUAGGUGUCCAUAAAGGCUCUGAAGCGGGACAUAAGAGCAGUGGCUUUGAAGUUUCUUUGCAAAUCAAACCAGGCUGGUCCUUUCUCUGCCCAUUUUUGAGGACACUGAACAGUCCCACCACUGCUACAACAACCCCAUAAAAAUUUACUGUCAGCUUUUUUUCUCUGUCCUUUUCCCCCACUUCGACCACAUCCUUAGACCUCCAAGAAGCCAAUGCCAGGCUAAGUAGUUGUGACAUAACUCAGCAGGUUUUCCUGAGCUCUAAUUGAAUUAUAAGCCAUCACUUUAUGGCCGCAUGUAAAAAUCCCACAUGUUCCUUGCACAGCAUAGUCAGUUCUUGGACCCAGUGGUGUGGCACUGGGCUGUG